rnacentral:tRNA from 1 species
GGGGAUGUAGCUUAGUGGCAGAGCACUUGCCUAGCGCGUGCGAGGUCCUGGGCUCAAUCCCCAGCACUGCCA